GACAGAGGUCCCAAGCGUUAGGCGGAAUCACUGGGCUUAAAGCGUGUGUAGGCGGAUGCCUAAGUACCUUGUGAAAUCCCACGGCUCACCCGUGGAACUGCUUGGUAUACUGGGUGUCUUGAGCCACUUAGGGGCUACCGGAACAAAUGGUGGAGCGGUGAAAUGCGUAGAUAUGCGGAGGAACACCGAUGGCGAAGGCAAUCCCCUGGGCCUGCACUGACGCUCAUGCACGAAAGCGUGGGGAGCAAACAGG
rnacentral:rRNA from 1 species